CUCCUUGGUAGCGAGGGCUGGCNACCCUGUGGGCGAGGUUACAGUUCGCCGCCUAUCUCGGCCACANNACC
rnacentral:tRNA from 1 species